rnacentral:lncRNA from 1 species
CCCUUCGACGGAGGUGUGAUCAUCUCCCCUUCACCGGAGAUGACGGCCAGGAGGAUGAAUACGCUCACUGCCGAAGAAGAGUUCGUGGAGGUGCCGCGCCGGCUCGGCCUCCGGCGAGAAGCAGCAUCUCGUGGAGGUGCCGCGCCGGCUCGGCCUCCGGCGAGAAGCAGCAUCUGUGGACGCGAACAACAUGCCUCGGUGGCCUUGAGCGUGCAUGAUCAAAUCGUAUCCAUGGCAAGGUUACGCAUACC